CACAGCUUCGUGACUGAACAACAACAAUAUUUGGAGGAACUCAGUAUAUCACAGAGGCUGAGGGUUUUCUUACAAUCUGGAGACCAGACAACUACUGCUGCUACUGUUAGCGUUGUUGCCUUCAAUACAACUGCCUCACCCAGAAACUGGAGCCCAGUGGAGGGUGGAAUUCUGCCAUUAGCGACACUUGCUUUUCAGCGGAAAUCAUCAUCUCCCAUCUCCUUUCCAGGUCCUAUGGACGUGCGUCUAAUUGGUGGAAGAUAUUCACAGUCAUACCCUGGCAGCAAGGGAAUUGCAAUUUUUCAGGUCUCAGGCCCCACGAAAUAGAAGAAGGGUUAUGAUGUGGCUUAAGAGAAUCAACCAAAAUAACUACCACUUUAGCCAAAAUACCAAUCAAGACUGAGGGGAAAAUAAACACAUUUUAAGACAAAGGAGGAGGUUUCUCAAUCGCAUUCACACAGAGUGAAUCACACAAUGUACUACAUGAAAAAGGAAACUGAAUACAGAUUCAAGAAGCAUGCGUGUGUGGCGGGGCGAGGAAUGAGAAACGGAGGUAUAUGAGGUUUGAAAACAUUAUAAAAUUAGCAGGAUUUUGAAGGUGUGCUAUGAGUAUAUGGCUAAACAAGUAG
rnacentral:lncRNA from 1 species